rnacentral:rRNA from 1 species
GAGAAAUCGGUGCUAAUACCGAAUAAUAGAGCGGAGCGCAUGCUCCGCGCUUGAAAGUCGGCUUUGAGCUGACACUAUGAGAUGGGCCCGCGGCGCAUUAGCUAGUAGGUGAGGUAACGGCUCACCUAGGCGACGAUGCGUAGCCGACCUGAGAGGGUGAUCGGCCACACUGGGACUGAGACACGGCCCAGACUCCUACGGGAGGCAGCAGUAGGGAAUCUUCGGCAAUGGACGAAAGUCUGACCGAGCAACGCCGCGUGAGUGAUGAAGGUUUUCGGAUCGUAAAACUCUGUUGUCAGGGAAGAACAAGUACGAGAGUA